AGACAACACUGCACACUCAGAGGCAGAGCAUGGCCAGGAGGAAGCCAGACUGUUGUGGCUGGGGCAAGGUUGCAGGUUGGGAAGGAAGCGGUCCUAAGUGGAGCAGCUUCCAUGGACCCCUGAUCACUACUUGAGGAGAAUUUUCCUGUGGAUUCAACUGACUAGCUAUUGUGAUGUAAGCAGGUAAAAAAAAAAAACAAAAACCAUUUAUCAUGUUAUGCCAAUGAGAUUUGAGAUUUUGUUGUCAGCUACCCUUAAUUACCCUAAAACAGCAAUGCUUCUCUCCCCCUCUCUCUCUUUCUCUCUUCUUAAUCAGUCUUUCUGGAGGUUUAUAUACUUCAGAAGUCUUUAGAAAAGAAAAAUUAGCCUUUGGAUUAGUAGAGCACAGUUGAUAAAAGCACAGAAUAUUAGUCAGUGUCUGGUCCUUAUUAGCUUUGUGAUCUCGGGAAAGAUAUGCAGUCUCUCUGUGCACUGUUUUACUCAUCUGUAAAAUGAGAAUGAAUAAUUUUGCUUGUGUCUAAGGGUUGUUGUGAAGAUUGAGUGGGUCAGUAUAUGUAAAGCACUUAGAACAAUGUACAGUAUGUGCUGUGAACAUGUUAUCUCUAUUUUCUCUAUUUUAUUAAUAUCUUUCUUAAUCUUCAUUACAUCUUCUUACUUCUUUGGAUUUAUUCUUGUUUCUUAUCGAUUUUUCCCUAGCAAUUUUGGGAGUAUUUAGCUCACUUACUUAUAACCAUUCUUGUCAUCUGGUAAAUGAUUUUUAGGAUAUAUUAUGCUCCUCACAGUGCUUCCUUCUCUGGUUCCCAGACAUUUUGACAUGGGGUGCUUUUAUGCUCACUCAGCUGUAAUUUAGUACUUUUAUUUAUGAAUUUCUCUUUAACUCAAGUGCCACAUAGUUGUAUGGGGGGAGGCCACAGAUACUUGGGGUUUCUAUAAGACUUUACAUUUGGUCUUGAUUCUUAAUUUUAUUGAAUAAUAGUUGGAAAACUCUUCAAGAUAUCACUUCUUUGCAAUUUAUUGAGGCUUUUUGUGUGUGUGAAUCAGUAUUCGAUUGACUUCUGUGAAUGUUUCAUGCAUGCUUAGAAAAUAAAAAGUGUCUGCUCACUGUGUAUAAAGUUCACAAUAUAUCUUUUCAUUUAGUUAUUAUUUAUAAUAUAUACAAAUUUUUAAUUUGCUUCCUUAAGCUGUUGGUUUCUGGAACAUAAACUUUGAAGAUUUCUCCAGCUAUAGCCACUGAUUUAGUUAGUUAUCUUCAUGGUUCAUCAAUUGCUGUUAGAGAUUGUGUAUAUAUAUUUGUAUGUGGUAACAUAUUCAUUAUUAUCAAUCAAUUUGAUGUUUUGUUCCUAACAUAUAAGAUAAAAUUUUAUCUAUACUCAUUUUUUUGCUUUCAAUUCUAUUCAGUCAGAAAUUAAUGUGGCUAUAGCAUACUUCUUUCAGCCAUAUUUGCCUCAUGUGUUAUUUUUCACUCUUUUAUUUUUUCAUCUUGAGUGUGUUCAUUGUACAUAGAUGAUUAUGAAUUGGGGGAUAAAGGACACAUGCAUACUUGUUAAAAUAUGGGAUUGAUAAAUUGAUAAAUUUCAUAUUUAUUUAAUGAGAUAUCGAAACUUAAUUGAAUGAAGGUGGUGAAAACAACCAAGAACAGAAGGAUAUCUUUGCACAUCUGCUUAAUUGCUUUGUUUCAGUGUGAUGCACUGCUGCAGUGGACACUUUCCAUGAAGCUUGUGUCCUGCUAGAGUUGAGUAAAAUGGGGAUAUGGUUACUUCUAGGUGUACUGGUGAAGUGGGAACAGUAGGGAUAGUGUUUAUGCAUGAAGAGCCUUUGGAAUAGCCAUCUUGGCUCAGUUAUUCUCCAUUUUCCACACACUGCCCCCAGCACCUGCUCUGGGGAAAAUCCCUUGAUCCUUUUGAAUGCUAUUUUAUCCAUCUCAAAAGUUGAUUUUCCUGCUUGUCAAAUCAUGGGUGGUGAUGAGGUAGAAAUGUAAAGGAAGUAAGCAGCUACUGGGUCAGAUCCAAAGCACACUGACUGGAAACAACAGAUAUUCAUUUAGUUCACAAAUGUGUAGGUCAUCAAUCUAGUCCGGACAGCUCUCCCUCCUGCUCUAACCUGAAAUUACUUGUUAUCUGGGUAUAGUCCAUCUUAGGGUGACUUGUUGCAUUUGUGGGUCCUUUGGCUGCUGCCUGGAGGAACUUGACUUAGCCCCACUCUGAUAUUCCUCAAGCAGGCUAGCCUAGGCAUACUCUCAAAGGAAAGGCAGAGGUGCAAGAGUCAGGGCAAUUUCUAUACCCAAGCACUCUUCAAGUCUCUGCAUAAGUCAAGUUUGUUACUAUCCUUUGGCUAAGGCAAGUCUUGCAGUCAAGCCUACCACCAAAGUAAGGGUUAUGCAAAAUUAUAUAGAAAAGGAUGUGGAUAUAGGUAGGAAAAAGUGAGAAUAUGGACUUUGCAUGUUUAAAGUAAAACAAUCUUAAACUGAGUUAAAAGCCUUUGGUAAGAAAAUAUGGAAGUUCUUGUAGUGGCUCAGUGGUUAACGAACCCGACUAAUACCCAUGAGGACACGGGUUUGAUCCCAGGCCUUGCUCAGUGGGGUUAAGAAUCUGGCAUCGCUGUGAGCUGUGGUGUAGGUUGCAAAUGCAGCUUGGAUUUGGUGUUGCUGUGGCCGUGGAGUAGGCCGGCAGCUACAGCUCUGAUUCGACCCCUAGCCUGGGAACCUCCAUAUGCCACAGG
rnacentral:lncRNA from 1 species